rnacentral:tRNA from 1 species
GGCCUGUUAGCUCAGCUGGUUAGAGCGUGGUGCUAAUAACGCCAAGUUCGUGGGUUCGAUCCCCACAUGGGCCA